rnacentral:rRNA from 1 species
AACGAACGCUGGCGGCAGGCUUAACACAUGCAAGUCGAGCGCCCCGCAAGGGGAGCGGCAGACGGGUGAGUAACGCGUGGGAACGUACCCUUUACUGCGGAAUAACUCAGGGAAACUUGUGCUAAUACCGUAUGUGCCCUUCGGGGGAAAGAUUUAUCGGUAAAGGAUCGGCCCGCGUUGGACUAGCUAGUUGGUGGGGUAAAGGCCUACCAAGGUGACGAUCCAUAGCUGGUCUGAGAGGAUGAUCAGCCACAUUGGGACUGAGACACGGCCCAAACUCCUACGGGAGGCAGCAGUGGGGAAUAUUGGACAAUGGGCGCAAGCCUGAUCCAGCCAUGCCGCGUGUGUGAUGAAGGCCUUAGGGUUGUAAAGCACUUUCACCGGAGAAGAUAAUGACGGUAUCCGGAGAAGAAGCCCCGGCUAACUUCGCGCCAGCCGCCGCCGUAA